AUUGAACGCUGGCGGCAGGCCUAACACAUGCAAGUCGAACGGUAACAGGAAACAGCUUGCUGUUUCGCUGACGAGUGGCGGACGGGUGAGUAAUGUCUGGGAAACUGCCUGAUGGAGGGGGAUAACUACUGGAAACGGUAGCUAAUACCGCAUAACGUCGCAAGACCAAAGAGGGGGACCUUCGGGCCUCUUGCCAUCGGAUGUGCCCAGAUGGGAUUAGCUAGUAGGUGGGGUAACGGCUCACCUAGGCGACGAUCCCUAGCUGGUCUGAGAGGAUGACCAGCCACACUGGAAGUGAGACACGGUCCAGACGCCUACGGGAGGCAGCAGUGGGGAAUAUUGCACAAUGGGCGCAAGCCUGAUGCAGCCAUGCCGCGUGUAUGAAGAAGGCCUUCGGGUUGUAAAGUACUUUCAGCGGGGAAGGAAGGGAGUAAAGUUAAUACCUUUGCUCAUUGACGUUACCCGCAGAAGAAGCACCGGCUAACUCCGUGCCAGCCGCCGCCGUAA
rnacentral:rRNA from 1 species